AUUGAACGCUGGCGGCAUGCCUUACACAUGCAAGUCGAACGGCAGCACGGGAGCAAUCCUGGUGGCGAGUGGCGAACGGGUGAGUAAAGUAUCGGAACGUGCCCAGUCGUGGGGGAUAACGUAGCGAAAGUUACGCUAAUACCGCAUACGAUCUAUGGAUGAAAGCGGGGGAUCGCAAGACCUCGCGCGAUUGGAGCGGCCGAUAUCAGAUUAGGUAGUUGGUGGGGUAAAGGCUCACCAAGCCGACGAUCUGUAGCUGGUCUGAGAGGACGACCAGGCAGAGUGGGACUGCGACAGGGCCCAGACUCCUACAGGAAGCAGCAGGGGGGAAUUUUGGACAAUGGGCGAAAGCCUGAUCCAGCCAUGCCGCGUGCAGGAUGAAGGCCUUCGGGUUGUAAACUGCUUUUGUACGGAACGAAAAGGUUUGGCCUAAUAAGCUGAGCUCAUGACGGUACCGUAAGAAUAAGCACCGGCUAACUACGUGCCAGCAGCCGCCGCCG
rnacentral:rRNA from 1 species